rnacentral:rRNA from 1 species
AUGGAAGCGGCGGCUCCGUCGCCGCUGCUCCAUAGCCCCCCGCACAUCACCCCAGAGCUCCGGCGCUUCCUAGACGUCCGCUUUCGCUCCCCGGCCGACCUCGCCGCGGCCGCCGACGUCGAGGCCGAGAUCCGCGGGCGCUGCGCGGAGCUCGAGUCCUCGGUCGCCGAACUGUCCGCCCGCCUCGCCGAUGUGGUCGCCGCGUACUCCUCUUCCCUCGGGGCCGCUGGCUCCGCCCUCCGCAGCGUGCGUGGUGGCCUUGCCGCCCUCAAGGCCUCCACCGACAAGACGGGGGUUAGAGAAGACGUGGAGGCUGGGAGCGAGAGGAUGCUGUUUGAACAACUCCCUCCCCUGGCCACCGACGUGGCGAGAGUGGACAUGGUUAGAGAUUACGCUGAAACGGCUCUAAAGCUUGACGGUUUGAUCGGUGAUGUAGAAGACGCUGUUUCCUCUUCUGUGACUGCAAAACUUAAAUCUCGUGGAGAAAAUUCAGAGAAAACCCACCAUGUUGCUAUUGGAUAUCUUAAAAAGAUAGAAGAUCUUUUAGCUUCAGUUACAAGGACCAGACCACAAUGGACUCGCCUUAUAUCUGCAGUGGAUCACAGAGUGGACAGAUCUCUAGCUUUACUAAGACCACAAGCUAUUGUUGAUCAUCGUGCUCUUCUGUCAUCCCUUGGCUGGCCUCCUUCCCUUGCGGGAACAAAAAUUUCAGAUAGUAAUUCUGGGAAACCGGCAGAGACUGUGAACCCAUUAUUUUCAAUGAAGGGUGACUUGACAAGGAAGUAUUCUGAAAGCUUUCUUUCGCUCUGUAAUCUACAAGAAUUACAGAAACGCAGAAAAGCUAGGCAACUACAAGGCCACGACAUGGGAAAUCAACCACGUCAACCAUUAUGGGUGAUAGAGGAGUUAGUAAAUCCAUUAUCUGCUGCUGCACAACACCAUUUCUCCAAAUGGGUUGAGAAUCCUGAAUUUGUAUUUGCUCUUGCUUAUAAGAUAACAAGAGAUUUUAUUGAUUCCAUGGAUGAGAUACUGCAGCCCCUUGUAGAUAAGGCCAAUCUUGUAGGGUAUAGCUGCAGAGAGGAGUGGAUUUCAGGUAUAGUUAUUGCACUGUCUACAUACUUGGCGAAAGAGAUAUUUCCAAAGCAGAUUGAACUUCUUCAAGAAAGUAGCUCAAGUGAUGCAAGCAGCACGGCGGCUCAGGCAAGAGUCUCAUGGCUUAACCUUGUUGAUCUGAUGAUAUCUUUUGACAAGCGAACUCAAGAUUUGAUCUCCGGUACAGGACUGCUAUUUUCAGUAAAGGAUGAUGAGAAUUGGCAGAGGAUCUCGGUGCUCUCUGUCUUCUGUGAUCGUCCAGACUGGCUUGAAAUAUGGGCAGAGAUUGAGAGACGGGAGGUUUUCGCUAGCCUGAAAUCAGCAAUGGAGAAUGAAAAUAAUUGGAGUAAGAGGAUUGAAGGAGCGAUACUUGAAUAUGGAUCAGAUGACUGCAAAUCUCCAGCAAUAACCGGUGCUGUUAAACAUGGCUUGUCUUUGAUAAUUGAUCGUGCUAGGCCUAUUCCUAGCAUUACCCUUAGGGCAGAAUUCAUUAGGAUUUCUGCUUCACCCAUAAUAUCAGAAUUCCUCGGUUGCAUGUUUAGGAGGUGCCAAGAGGCAGAGGGGCUAACUGCUCUGGCCGAUGAUAAUGCUUUGAUCAAAGUAUCACAGUCCAUUAAUGCAGCUCGGUACGUGGAAUCCACAUUGGCACAAUGGUGUGAGGAUGUGUUCUUUCUUGAAAUGGAAAAUCUAUCUGUAGUUGGAGAAGGGGGUUUUGUAUUCCAGCAAGAUAUAAAUCAACUGAAAGAGUUCAGAUCAGAAUGGGUUGAUAAGAUUUCCACCGUCAUCCUUAGGGCUUUUGAUGCUCGAUCCCGGGACUAUCUGAAAAACAAGAGACAGUGGCAGGAGCAUUCAGAAGAACCAGCUAUAUCCAGAGCUAUCAUAGAGUCUUCAGGCUACAUUCAAGGGAGGCUAUCUAGGCUCGAAGAAGGCCUAAAUGUGCUGGAUUUUGUAACAGUAUGGAGAGCCGUGGCAACCGGAGUAGACCAGCUGCUUUUCACAGGGAUUUUCGCUGGAAGCCCAAAGUUUAGUAAUGGUGGGGUGGAAAGGCUUCAUGCUGAUCUGAGUGUUCUUUUUGCUGUUUUCCAAGCCUGGUGUCUGAGGCCUGAAGGCUUCUUCCCAAGACUGUCCGAGGGAUUGAAAUUGCUGAAGAUUGAUGAGAGGCAACUAAGAGAUAGUAGGUUGGUUACAGAUAAAAAUUGGCUGCGGGGACAUGGUGUUAGGCAUUUGACAGUCGGUGAGGCCGAAAAGAUAAUUAAAAAUAGGGUGUAUGAUGCAUGA